UACGAGUGCCCCAAGCGUUAUCCGGAAUCAUUGGGCGUAAAGGGUGUGUAGGUGGUUGUGUUAGUCUUCUGUUAAACCUUCGGGCUCAACCCGAAACCUGCAGAGGAAACGGCACGACUUGAGGAUGCGAGGGGUGAAUGGAACUCAUGGAGUAGGGGUGAAAUCCGUUGAUAUCAUGGGGAACACCAAAAGCGAAGGCAAUUCACUGGCGCAUUCCUGACACUGAAACAUGAAAGCGUGGGUAGCGAACGGG
rnacentral:rRNA from 1 species